rnacentral:rRNA from 1 species
AACCCGCCUGUAUGAAGUUGGAAUCGCUAGUAAUCGCGGAUCAGCAUGCCGCGGUGAAUACGUUCCCGGGCCUUGUACACACCGCCCGUCACACCAUGAGAGUCGGGAACACCCGAAGUCCGUAGCCUAACCGCAAGGGGGCGCGGCCGAAGGUGGGUUCGAUAAUUGGGGUGAAGUCGUAACAAGGUACC